AUGGUAAAAAUCAAACCCCAAACCAUCGUCUCCGGAGGCCACAUUCAGGAGCUUUUCUCCUUAUGGAUGCUUGUGAAUGACUUUCAACUUGAUGACUGUGCCGAGGAUGACAUCGUUUGGAAGCAUGCAGUGGACGGGAUAUACACGAUGGCAACUGCAUACAUGGCUCAAUUUCUUGGCUUGAUGCUCUCUCCCAUGGACUUCAUGGUUUGGAAAGCGUGGGCUCCUUCAAAGGUAAAAUUCUUCGCGUGGCUUGCUUUGCAAGAUCGGAUAUGGACCGCCGAUCGGCUGGAGGGGCGUGGAUGGGAUAAUUGUGGUCUAUGUCCUCUUUGCAAGAGACAGCAAGAAACG
rnacentral:rRNA from 1 species